rnacentral:rRNA from 1 species
AACGAACGCUGGCGGCAUGCCUAACACAUGCAAGUCGAACGAAGUCUUCGGACUUAGUGGCGCACGGGUGCGUAACGCGUGGGAAGCUGCCCUUGGGUACGGAAUAACUCAGAGAAAUUUGUGCUAAUACCGUAUAAUGUCUUCGGACCAAAGAUUUAUCGCACAAGGAUGAGCCCGCGUAAGAUUAGCUAGUUGGUGGGGUAAAAGCCUACCACGGCGACGAUCUUUAGCUGGUCUGAGAGGAUGAUCAGCCACACUGGGACUGAGACACGGCCCAGACUCCUACGGGAGGCAGCAGUGGGGAAUAUUGGACAAUGGGCGAAAGCCUGAUCCAGCAAUGCCGCGUGAGUGAUGAAGGCCCUAGGGUUGUAAAGCUCUUUUACCAGGGAUGAUAAUGACAGUACCUGGAGAAUAAGCACCGGCUAACUCCGUG